rnacentral:ncRNA from 1 species
AGAAAACUUGGUCCCAAUUUCUUUUACUUUUUCUUCUAUGUUGAUACAUGCAAAGGUUUUCCUUUACCAGUGAGUAAAAAAUAAUAAAUUUAUUUAAAAUAAUCAAAAAAAAUUUUAUCAAGAAAGAGUUUCUUUCUUUACAAACAGAAUUCCACAACAGCAGUACUAAAUUUUAAGCAAUUAGUUAAAACUAGACUUAUUAAUAGAAAAAGUAUUGGUAAAGUUACGUGCCAGCAACCGCGGUUAUACGUAAAAUGCAAAAGUAAAAUAAACAACUUUAGUGGAAAUUAUAUUUUUUUUUGUGUUACAAAAAAUUUUGAGCAGUCAAAUGCUUAAAAAAUAUAUAAAGCCAAAAUUAAAACACAAUUUUAUUAAUCCACAUAAGUAUAAAAAUAAACCAGGAUUAGAGACCCUGUUAUUUUAAACCGUAAACAAUAAAAAGAGAACUACUAGUAAAACACUUAAAACUUAAAGGACUUGGCGGUUUUUUAGAUCUUCCUAGAGGAGCCUGCCUAAUAAAUUGAUAAUCCACAAAACACCUUACCUUUUUUAGCUUUCAGCCUGUAUAUCAUCAUCGUCAGCUUACCUUUCCUAAAGUAAGUAAGCAAAAAGAAUUUUAUAUUAAAAUCCAAAACGUUAGAUCAAGAUGCAGCCAAUAAAAAGGAAUUGGUGGGCUACAAUAUUAAAAACAAAAAACGAAAUUUAGACUAAAAACCAAAAUGAAGAAGGAUUUAGCAGUAAAAAAACUUUAAGAAAGAUUUUUUGAAAAAGCUCUAAAAUACGUACACACCGCCCGUCACUCUCUUUAUCUUAAAGAAGAGAAAAGUCGUAACAAGGUAAGAGUAGGGGAACCUGCUCUUGGAAGGUU